ensembl:lncRNA PSMD14-DT PSMD14 divergent transcript
AGGUACCUCAGAUGAGUGGAAUUAUGCAGUAUUUGUCCUUUUGUGUGUACAACUAAUUUGACAGGCAGUAUGAUAAGGAACAAUCUGAAUGACACGUAAACAGGAGGGGGUAAAUUCCAAGCACAGCCUGAAUGAGAAGUACAACUCAUUUCCUGUAACCUAGAUGCCUUUUUAACACAUCUAUGCAGUCUCCAUGUGAAACCAGGUGCUGUUCCCAAAGGAGAAAACACUGCCCUCCAGUGGUCUUCAAUGAAGAAAUGGAAAUAGUUUCAGGUACCAUGAUAGCAGCAUUUACAUGAAACAUGGUAUAUUUAUCUAGUCUCAUUUUUGGCUGUAUUUCUUAAGCUGAAACACGUCUACAACUGAGCAUAAGGACAAAAUUUCCAAGAUAAAUUCUAAUAGGUGGAAACCAGGCUUCUUGGAAGACUUCAAACUAUGCCAAAUGGUCUGAUUUCACCAUAGAGAAUGUUAUACUAUUAAUUGCCAAUUUGCAUAUGUGUGCAGCUGCUGUUUUGGCUCUGAACUCAAUCCGAUAAGCUUGCUGGAGGUAUCGCAGAGCACUUGGCAGCUUUCCUAUUUGAAAAGAAAGCCUCUCCCCUCUACAGAACAGCUGAUCGUCUAUCAGCGAUAGACC